ACUGGGGUUGGCCGAGUGGUUAAGGCGUUGGACUUAAGUUCCAAUGGACAAGUGUCCGCGUGGGUUCUGAACCCCACACCCAGUA
rnacentral:tRNA from 1 species